CAGUAGCCGCGGUAAUACGUAGGUCCCGAGCGUUGUCCGGAUUUAUUGGGCGUAAAGCGAGCGCAGGCGGUUAGAUAAGUCUGAAGUUAAAGGCUGUGGCUUAACCAUAGUACGCUUUGGAAACUGUUUAACUUGAGUGCAAGAGGGGAGAGUGGAAUUCCAUGUGUAGCGGUGAAAUGCGUAGACAUAUGGAGGAACACCGGUGGCGAAAGCGGCUCUCUGGCUUGUAACUGACGCUGAGGCUCGAAAGCGUGGGGAGCAAACAGGAUUAGAUACCCCAGUAGUCCCUGUCUCUUAUACC
rnacentral:rRNA from 1 species